CGCUAUCACUCCUACGGGGAGGCAGCAUUAGGGAAUCUUCCACAAUGGGCGCAAGCCUGAUGGAGCAACACCGCGUGAGUGAAGAAGGGUUUCGGCUCGUAAAGCUCUGUUGUUAAAGAAGAACACGUAUGAGAGUAACUGUUCAUACGUUGACGGUAUUUAACCAGAAAGUCACGGCUAACUACGUGCCAGCAGCCGCGGUAAUACGUAGGUGGCAAGCGUUAUCCGGAUUUAUUGGGCGUAAAGAGAGUGCAGGCGGUUUUCUAAGUCUGAUGUGAAAGCCUUCGGCUUAACCGGAGAAGUGCAUCGGAAACUGGAUAACUUGAGUGCAGAAGAGGGUAGUGGAACUCCAUGUGUAGCGGUGGAAUGCGUAGAUAUAUGGAAGAACACCAGUGGCGAAGGCGGCUACCUGGUCUGCAACUGACGCUGAGACUCGAAAGCAUGGGUAGCGAACAGGAUUAGAUACCCUGGUAG
rnacentral:rRNA from 1 species